rnacentral:rRNA from 1 species
GACGAACGCUGGCGGCGUGCUUAACACAUGCAAGUCGAACGGUGACGAGGAGCUUGCUCCUCUGAUCAGUGGCGAACGGGUGAGUAACACGUGAGCAACCUGCCCCAGACUCUGGGAUAACAGUUGGAAACAGCUGCUAAUACCGGAUACGAGACGGAGAGGCAUCUCUACCGUCUGGAAAGUUUUUCGGUCUGGGAUGGACUCGCGGCCUAUCAGCUAGUUGGUGAGGUAAUGGCUCACCAAGGCGACGACGGGUAGCCGGCCUGAGAGGGCGACCGGCCACACUGGGACUGAGACACGGCCCAGACUCCUACGGGAGGCAGCAGUGGGGAAUAUUGCACAAUGGGCGAAAGCCUGAUGCAGCGACGCCGCGUGAGGGAUGACGGCCUUCGGGUUGUAAACCUCUUCAGCAGGGAGAAGCGAAAGUGACGGUACCUGCAGAAGAAGCGACCGGCUAACUACGUGCCAGCAGCCGCGGUAAUGUACG